rnacentral:lncRNA from 1 species
CAACGCCACCCGUGUUUCGUGUCGGUGCCUCUACUUUCGUGCGCUCGCAUUCUUCGCGGCUGACGACCGGCAUCAUGGUGGUGUACUCGUUGUGCUGCUCAUCUUCGCUUGCGGCAGUUCGUCUGAGUAGUACUUAUGUUGCAUCUGCGGAGCGGGCAAACUUUCCAAGCUAUCAGUGUCCAGCACCGCCUUCGAAGAUGCCGAGCUACGGCGGCGGCUACAGCUGAUCCCCCUUCAGUACCUCGUACGCAAGACCUCAUUUCGAGAAAAAAAAAAAAAAGAAAAUAGACCUCGUCACUUCGAUCUACGACUUUGUUCAUCAGGAAGGUAUUCGACCAACCCUGAGCCACCUAGGACGACCUUUUUUUCCAGUCCUCCACCGAACUGAAAUCACGCUAAAAAUUGGUUUGAAUGGUCGCGAUGAAGUCGUUGCACUCGAUCAUGCUAGAUCCACGAUAACAGUCGUCUUACCAACUCGGAACUGCAUCUCCGCCUUUAAUUCCAUUCUGGAGUUAGGACUUCAGCCACCUUUCAGUAUCGGUAAACUUAGGUUUUAACUCCGCUACUGUCAAAAGCAGGAAGCCGACGAAGGGGCCCUCAUUUUUGUCGAUCCAUCUCCAUUUCUGACGUGCUUCUAAGUACGCACGUAGUACAACCGCAAAAAAGAAAAAAAAAAAGAUAUGUGACAUUUGGCUGUAAGCCCGAUCGAUUUCCGGCCAUUCUUAUAGCCCAUCCAACAACCUUCAGCAAUAGGACCCCAUUUUGGUUCCCCUAGCUUUCCUUUUCGGUGUCAGCAUGAUACAUGUAGUGGGUUAAUUUCGUUCUUCGGUUUUGUCAAUGUUUUACUCCACGUACAUUUUCAAGUGGCCAGAUAAGCAUUUUCCAGCUACGGUAAACUAGAAAGAGUUGAUCUCCUCAUAUCUGUCUUUCUUAUUGAAAGUUCUCACGCAGAACCCACAUUUUGUACUGUCGACACAAAUAACCGAAUAUCUGAAGAAGCUGCGCACUUUUCUUUCAUCCGAAUAUGCACGAAAUGUGUCGAAACUAAUUCUUCAUUGUUCUACACCAUUAUUUGGCCUGA